rfam:Oryza rufipogon genomic scaffold, chr06
AAAAAGCAAAUCCUAGAUUUUCGUGUCCAACUUUAACUGUCCGUCUUAUAUAAAUUUUUUUAUAAUUUGUAUUUUUAUUGUUGUUAGAUGAUAAAAUAUUAUUAAUAUUUUAUGUGUGACUUGUCUUUUUAUUUUUUUAUAAUUUUUUCAAAUAAGACGGACGUUUAAACGUUGGACAUGGAAAAUAGUGUUUGUCUUUUUU